UAUUUAAUUAGUAUAAUGAUUAGUACAUUUAAUUUCCAAUUAAAUAGUUUUUAAUAAAAUUAAAUAA
rnacentral:tRNA from 1 species